CCUACGGGAGGCAGCAGUGGGGAAUCUUGGACAAUGGGCGAAAGCCUGACCCAGCGACGCCGCGUGGGGGAUGAAGCCCUUCGGGGUGUAAACCCCUGUUGCGAGGGAGGAAUAAGGCCUGGAGGAAAUGCCAGGCCGAUGACUGUACCUCGCGAGGAAGCCCCGGCUAACUACGUGCCAGCAGCCGCGGUAAUACGUAGGGGGCGAGCGUUACCCGGAUUCACUGGGCGUAAAGCGGGUGUAGGCGGCUCGGUAAGUCGGGUGUGAAAUCCCACAGCUCAACUGUGGAAUUGCGCCCGAAACUGCUGAGCUUGGGGCCGGUAGAGGGAGACGGAACUGCCGGUGUAGGGGUGAAAUCCGUAGAUAUCGGCAGGAACGCCGGUGGGGAAGCCGGUCUCCUGGGCCGCGCCCGACGCUGAGACCCGAAAGCUAGGGGAGCAAACC
rnacentral:rRNA from 1 species